UACGGAGGGGGCUAGCGUUGUUCGGAAUUACUGGGCGUAAAGCGCGCGUAGGCGGACCUGCAAGUCGGGGGUGAAAGCCCGAGGCUCAACCUCGGAACUGCCUUCGAUACUGCGGGUCUCGAGUCCGGGAGAGGUGAGUGGAAUUCCUAGUGUAGCGGUGAAAUGCGUAGAUAUCAGGAGGAACACCGGUGGUGUAGACGGCUUUCUGGACCGUAACUGACGCUGAAACACGAAAGCGUGGGUAGCAAACAGG
rnacentral:rRNA from 1 species